rnacentral:rRNA from 1 species
ACGAACGCUGGCGGCGUGCCUAAUACAUGCAAGUUGAGCGCUGAAGGUUGGUACUUGUACCGACUGGAUGAGCAGCGAACGGGUGAGUAACGCGUGGGGAAUCUGCCUUUGAGCGGGGGACAACAUUUGGAAACGAAUGCUAAUACCGCAUAAAAACUUUAAACACAAGUUUUAAGUUUGAAAGAUGCAAUUGCAUCACUCAAAGAUGAUCCCGCGUUGUAUUAGCUAGUUGGUGAGGUAAAGGCGCACCAAGGCGAUGAUACAUAGCCGACCUGAGAGGGUGAUCGGCCACAUUGGGACUGAGACACGGCCCAAACUCCUACGGGAGGCAGCAGUAGGGAAUCUUCGGCAAUGGACGAAAGUCUGACCGAGCAACGCCGCGUGAGUGAAGAAGGUUUUCGGAUCGUAAAACUCUGUUGGUAGAGAAGAACGUUGGUGAGAGUGGAAAGCUCAUCAAGUGACGGUAACUACCCAGAAAGGGACGGCUAACUACGUG